AUGUCGCCCGCCGCCGCCGCCGCCAGAGUCGCAUCCUUCGCUGCCAACUUCACCACCUCCACUGCCCCCUCCUCGGGCGGUCGGCUCCUCCGUCCGUUCCGUGGGAAUCCGCGCCCCCGCCGCGCCGUCGCCUCGAUGGCCGUGUCCGCUCCCAAGUCGCCAGCCGCCGCCUCGUUCCUCGAGCGCCGCGAGUCCGAGCGCGCGCUCCACUUCGUCAAGUACCAGGGCCUCGGCAACGACUUCAUAAUGGUCGACAACAGGGAUUCGGCUGUGCCGAAGGUGACACCGGAGGAGGCGGCGAAGCUGUGCGACCGAAACUUUGGUAUUGGUGCUGAUGGCGUCAUCUUUGUCAUGCCGGGGGUCAACGGUGCGGACUACACUAUGAGGAUAUUCAACUCUGAUGGCAGCGAGCCGGAGAUGUGUGGCAAUGGAGUUCGUUGCUUUGCUCGCUUUAUAGCGGAGGUUGAAAAUCUACAGGGAACACAUAGCUUCAAAAUCCAUACUGGCGCUGGAUUAAUUAUUCCUGAAAUACAAGAUGAUGGAAAGGUUAAGGUUGAUAUGGGCGAACCCAUUCUUUAUGGACCAGAUGUUCCCACAAAACUGUCAUCCACCAAGAAUGAAGCUGUUGUAAAAGCGGAAUUGGCAAUUGACGGGUUAGCAUGGCAUGUAACCUGUGUUAGUAUGGGCAAUCCUCAUUGCAUCACGUUUGGUUCAGAAGAGUUGAAGGUUCUGCAUGUUGAUGAUUUGAAGCUUAGUGACAUUGGGCCCAAAUUUGAGCAUCAUGAAAUGUUUCCUGCUCGGACCAACACUGAAUUUGUGGAGGUCUUGUCUCGCUCACACCUCAAAAUGCGAGUUUGGGAGCGGGGUGCUGGAGCAACUCUUGCUUGUGGGACUGGUGCUUGUGCCGUUGUUGUUGCGGCUGUUCUUGAGGGCCGAGCUGAACGGAAAUGUGUAGUUGAUUUGCCUGGUGGGCCAUUGGAAAUUGAGUGGAGGGAGGAUAACAAUCAUGUUUACAUGACUGGUCCUGCUGAGGCUGUCUUCUACGGAUCUGUUGUACACUAG
rnacentral:rRNA from 1 species